AAAUGAAAGUAAAAAAUUUAUUUAAAAAUUAUUCUAGUGAUAAUUUUUAUAAUAUUUUUUAUGGGAAGAUAAUGAUUUUUUCAUAUAUUUUAAAAKUUUAACCUUUUGGUUAAUAUAAUUUUAAGUUUGAUAAAUUGUUUUCAAUCCCAAGGCGCUUUAAUUAAACGCAUUGCGUUUAAAAGCGCACUCUGAGCGUAUACGAUGAUACCCGAAAGAUGGUGAACUAUGCCUGGCCAGGACGAAGCCAGGGGAAACCCUGGUGGAGGUCCGCAGCGAUUCUGACGUGCAAAUCGAUCGUCGGAGCUGGGUAUAGGGGCGAAAGACCAAUCGAACCAUCUAGUAGCUGGUUCCCUCUGAAGUUUCCCUCAGGAUAGCUUGCGCUCGUUUUUUGAGUCUCAUCUGGUAGAGCGAAUGAUUAGAGGCAUUGGGGUCGAAACGACCUCAACCUAUUCUCAAACUCCAAAUAGAUGAGAACCCUGGCUUUCUUAAAAUUGAAGCCGUGGGUAACA
rnacentral:rRNA from 1 species